AACGAACGCUGGCGGCAUGCCUAACACAUGCAAGUCGAACGAGACCUUCGGGUCUAGUGGCGCACGGGUGCGUAACGCGUGGGAACCUGCCCUUAGGUUCGGAAUAACUCCCCGUAAGGGGUGCUAAUACCGGAUAAUGUCUUCGGACCAAAGAUUUAUCGCCCUUGGAUGGGCACGCGUUGGAUUAGCUAGUUGGUAGGGUAAAAGCCUACCAAGGCGACGAUCCAUAGCUGGUCUGAGAGGAUGAUCAGCCACACUGGGACUGGGACACGGCCCAGACUCCUACGGGAGGCAGCAGUGGGGAAUAUUGGACUAUGGGCGGAAGCCUGAACCAGCAAUGCCGCGUGAGUGAUGAAGGCCUUAGGGUUGUAAAGCUCUUUUACCCGGGAUGAUAAUGACAGUACCGGGAGAAUAAGCUCCGGCUAACUCCGUG
rnacentral:rRNA from 1 species